AGCCCAACACACACACACACACACACACACACACACACACACACACACACACACACACUCACACACUAGCAGUACACAGGAAACGGCCUCUUCCUGAGGGGAGCACAAAACACACACACACCCCAGCAGCACACACACACACACACACCAGCAGCACACAGGAAACAGCCCAACACACACACACUCACACACUAGCAGUAUACAGGAAACAACCUCUUUCUGAGAGGAGCUCAGCACACUUUUCUGCAGAAUGUCUGGGAAGAAACAUGUCCCCAGCUUCCAGCACAACUCGCUAACAUAAGCUUUAAGCGCAUCAAAAUGGAUAAAUGAAGUGCAUGCAGGGUAGGAGGCUACUAGGUUCUUAGCAGAGCCUUCUCUUUGACAAGUGCUUGUAUUUAGGCCUAUACUAUAAUAUAGAGAUUAUGUAGCCUAGACUCGGACUACCAGUGAGUUAGAGAGAGCGAGUUAGUACAGUCUUAUUCACUUGCAGUGCUCCGGCACUUAGUUCAAUACACAUAUUUAAGGGUGCCAGGGUACUGCCAGGAUUGCGUGUGAUUGUAGUGGGCCGUUCGGGCCAAAAAUGCCCGGGCCGAUUUUUUGUCCCAGUCCAGCCCUAGUGUGUGUGUGUGUGUGAGAGAGUAGAGGAUAUUGAUAUUCAGAUGUUUAACUCUGUUCCAGACUGGGUGGCUGUAAUCUGGUGGGGAAGAGCUGUUCCUAUCUGGCCUCUGCUCUGACCUCACAUUCCUCAAGUCUCGGAGUGCUGGACCUGAGUCAGAAUAUCCUGCUUAGUGAAUCAGCUGUAGAGCAGCUCUCUGCUCUGGUGAAGGACCCACACUAUAAACUAGAGGAACUACAAUGGAGUGAAUCGGGGAAAAACUGAAUGUUGAGACACAUGACGUGAGAGUGGGAUCCAAUACACACACACACGUGGAUGGGGAUGGCAGGAGAGAGCCGGUAGAAGUGUAGGAGUUUUGAGUUUACCUCCAUUCUGUCUUUGGUGUGUGUGUGUGUGUGUGUGUGUGUAUGUGUGUGUGUGUGUGUGUGUGUGUGCGUGCAUGACAUGUGUGCGUGCGUGCGAGAGAGUUUUUACCAUGUAAUAUUAUAUUUACUUAUGAAUGAAUUCAGAUGAUUCUAUGGGUUAUUUGAGUGGGGUUUUCUUGUUAAUCGUUAUGUUUUCUAAUACCGUGUCUCCACUGUAGAAUAUAAUACAUUGUUAUUUUAACAUGAGAAGUGUGUUCUCCAUGGUAGAAUAUAAUACAUUGUGUGAAGUGUGUUCUCCACUGAAGAAUAUAAUACAUUGUGUGAA